rnacentral:rRNA from 1 species
CUGGCUCAGGAUGAACGCUAGCUACAGGCUUAACACAUGCAAGUCGAGGGGCAGCAUAACGAAAGCUUGCUUUGUGAUGGCGACCGGCGCACGGGUGAGUAACGCGUAUCCAACCUUCCCCAUAGUAGAGAAUAGCCCGGCGAAAGUCGGAUUAAUGCUCUAUGUUGUAUCAUGAGGACAUCUGAAUAAUACCAAAGGUUCACCGCUAUGGGAUGGGGAUGCGUCUGAUUAGCUUGCCGGCGGGGUAACGGCCCACCGGGGCGACGAUCGGUAGGGGUUCUGAGAGGAAGGUCCCCCACACUGGUACUGAGACACGGACCAGACUCCUACGGGAGGCAGCAGUGAGGAAUAUUGGUCAAUGGGCGUAAGCCUGAACCAGCCAAGUAGCGUGCAAGGAUGACGGCCCUACGGGUUGUAAACUGCUUUUAUGCGGGGAUAAAGUGCGGCACGUGUGCCGCUUUGCAGGUACCGCAUGAAUAAGGACCGGCUAAUUCCGUGCCAGCCGCCGC